rnacentral:sRNA from 1 species
CAUGACCCAGUUGGGAACAAGGAUCCCAUGUUGAUUGACUCCCCACCUUGACAAGUAUCUUGUUGUUGGGAUGACCAGCAUGUGACUAUUGGGACAAGAUAGAAGUAUUUACAAAGCCAACAGUUUUGACCAAUUUAUGCGAAUUAGGGCAGAUUUGAGAGUACACUUAAGAGUUUUAAACUUUGUUUGAAAAAACAAAAAACAGUGUUCUUGGAAUAGUUUCUUUGGAGUAGAGCGCAUAAGGCCAAAUUUUAUCUGAUUGUUGGUGAGCACCUGUGGGUUUUUGUGUUCCUUAUGUAGUAUCCCUUAGGUUUGGGUCGAACAAUGUAAACCUUAUCAUUUCCACUGUUUUUAACAUCUCAAAUGAUGUCCCACGUCCUAGGUGCCAAUCCACAAAUGCCCACUCCUACAUCUUCUCCCUCCUCCCUCCAUUUUGCCACUAUGAUGCUGCUCUAAACUCACCCAACUUUUCGAAACCCACCACUCCAGCCUCCUCCUACGUUCGAGCAUCACAUCUCCACAGGACCAAGGGCCUUCCAUCCCAUUGGUUUCAAAUAAUGCCAUCCUCUGAUAUAUAUUGGUUGGUGGUCUAUUUUCUGGGAAGCUCUGGGUCAUCAGCCAGCAUAUAUUGUUCUUCCUCUAUUGCAGGACCUCUCUGUCACAGGACAUCCACUGUUUAAGCACCACCACUACCUCAGGAAGUCCACUGUCUGUGUGUCAACUCCCACUGUUACAGGACCACAAGUGUCUCAGCACUUCAACUAUCACAGCACUUCUACUGUUCAGGAGCUCAAGAGUCUCAGCAUCUCAAGUGUCACAGGACCUCCUUUGUCCAAGAACUGGACUGUCCAAGCAAUACUGCUAUUGCGGGACCUCCACUGUCACAGGAUUUCCACUGUAGGAGCACUACAACUGUCUCAGGACACCCACUGUCCUAUAACCUCCACUAUCCCAGGAAUUCCACUGUCGUAGCACCACCCGUAGCAACUAAAGUGUUUCAGGACAUCAACUGAAGCAAGAUCUCCCAUGAUUCUGCAACUUCACUGCCCCAGGAUCUCUACAGUGACAGGAAUACUUCUGUAUCAGCAAUUCCAAUUUUGCAGGACCUCCACUGUAGCAGAACCUCAAUUGUGCAGCAGCUCCCCUGUAUGUAGAUUGACCUCCACGAUCUCAGUGCCUCCACUUUCAAAGGACCUUCACUGUCACAGAACCGGCGCUAUUUCAGUGCCUCCACUGUCGCAGGACCUACCUCUUCACAGGAUCUGCACUGUUGCAGCAACUGUAAUUUCAAUUUUUCAAAGUCAUUGCUGGUUAUUAGAUUUCAGGCUGAAUGAAAUGAGAUGUUACUUUUGAAAGCAUAAGAAUUUGUUCUAUACCUCUUGUGAUAAAUGCCGUGUUUGCUAGGACCAGUAAACUAUGGAAGACUUCUUCAGCUCAUACCACUCUCCACCUCACUUUGUGGAAGCUGGUGUUUUUAGAGUGUGAUAAACUUCAGGUGAAUGGAUGCAUUCAGCUGCACCACGCUCUAGAGUGGACUACACAGCAGUCAUAUUGAGUCCUUGCUGGGAAGAGAAGAAAUCCAGAAGAAGGAGAAGGCUUGGGUUGGGGGAAGAAUCAUAAAAUACUUAGAGGAUAUUAGAAGGUAAGAAUUAUGGGGAACUGGAAAACAGAGCCAAAGGAAGAAUGAGCACAGAGCAAACUGGGAAGGACAAAGUACAAAGGCACUUGGGUUUUGCCAUCUGCGUGUUCUCUGGACAAUCUCCCUGGGCCACAUUUCUGGGAGAAAACUCUUCCCCCACCCCCUUGUAAGGUUUCAUUCUUGAAGGAAAGCAGCAACACAACUUCAUCAGUGAAUUUCCCCAUUGGAAUUGGUUCAUCCUUUAAUGCUUCUGGGAAAUCCCGAGCUGGGGAAUGUCCUGCUCUCUGCUGAGAGACAGCAGGAAAGUAGGUCGUCCUCUGUUUUCUCGUUGCUACAGCUCUUCUAAGUAUGGCUGAUUGUUGAGUGAAGACACAGGAUACUUCUGGUGUGUAUGUAUGCUUUGUUCACUGUGGGUGUUGUUGGGAGUGUCCUGAAAAGAAGGGCAUGCCCAAUGGCACUUCUGCUUCCUCUUUGACUAGCCUUAUGAUCAUAGGGAGACACUAGGCCAUUGGAAGAUGAGGAGAGCAAUGUGUCUAAGUUGUGUUCACUUCUAUUCCUAUUUAGUCCUAGAGGGAAAUCAGCAAGGGUGUGAGGAAUGCUGCUGUGCACUGACUGUGUGGUGUGAGGAAUGCUGCUGUGCACUGACUGUGUGGUGUGAGGAAUGCUGCUGUGCACUGACUGUGUGGUGUGAGGAAUGCUGCUGUGCACUGACUGUGUGGUGUGAGGAAUGCUGCUGUGCACUGACUGUGUGCUGUGAGGAAUGCUGCUGUGCAUUGACGCUGCCUUUUUUCUUUUCUCCCUACACCUGCAUCCUUCUGGUGGCUCAGGUUGGACAACUAGGUGCCCAUGACCAACUCCUCAUUGUGGAUGGAUUUAGUCUGGUUGGACUUUCUCAGGAAAGGCAGCUGAACUCAUGACUAGUACCAGUUCCACGGUUACCCUGGAAGUUGCAAAUCAAGACAUCCUCUCUCACUGCCUGUCCACCUUUCUUACCAACCCAUUGUCCUCCAUGGUGCAGAGAGGAAUGACUGCAUAUGGUCAACACACACUACCCUGGAAGACCCGAGAGUUCAAGGACGGCCAACUUUCACUUAAGCAAACUUGUCCACAGACUGCGUGGGUCCCAUCAGCUGAGAGUAGCCUCCACAUUGCAGUGAUGUGCAAACUUCUGCCUUUCAGCCAUGAUGGACUUUAGGAUCUAACCUGAGGACCCUACACAAGGCACAGGUAGGUGAUGUGUAAAUGAGGCAUGUUACUGGGUCAGGUCUUCAGUGCAGUGUCUUAAGCUGUCAGGCUUUUGGGAGGGCAUAUGCUUCUCUAUUAAAUGAGCUGGCUUCUCUGAAGGCCUCAACUCUGCUGUGUCUGCCGCUCAUGCUCCCUCCUCCAAGAAUCUAACUGUCCCUAGCUCUCUGUGACUGGCUGGUCAGUCAGCCUUCAUGCCACUCCACAGCCACUCUACAACACAGAGCCCACACUGUCCUCUGCAGAAGUUUCACAGGGCUGCUGCUUUAGUCUCUCUGUUGCGCUAUGGGGGUCCAAAGUCAAGUUUCUUAGGUCCCUAGGUGUCCCUGAAAAGGCUCUAGAACAAGGAAGAGGUGAAGAAAUCAGGAAAUAAACUCCUGCAGUACUUCAUGACUACCACUGGAGGGCUCUACACCUUUCUGGUCCUAGUGUGCCACUCAGCAAGCCCUCUCACUCACUCUAAGGUUCUGAGCCUGAUGGAGAGGACUCCUGCUAAACCCAGUGUUCCCAAGAAACUGGCUGUACCGGCAGGGCUAACUGUAGAGGAUUCUCCACGACCCUGAGAACACAAUUUGGAAAUCUCAGGUAGGCAGGGUGUGUGGGGGAGCAACCAGGGCUGGAUGGAGACCUUACCCAGAA